GACAGAGGGUGCAAACGUUGUUCGGAAUUACUGGGCGUAAAGGGCGCGUAGGCGGCCGCCUAAGUCAGACGUGAAAUCCCUCGGCUCAACCGGGGAACUGCGUCUGAUACUGGGUGGCUUGAAUCCGGGAGAGGGAUGCGGAAUUCCAGGUGUAGCGGUGAAAUGCGUAGAUAUCUGGAGGAAGGCCGGUGGCGAAGGCGGCGCUCUGGAACGUUUCUGACACUGAGGCUCGAAAGCGUGGGGAGCAAACAGG
rnacentral:rRNA from 1 species